GGGGGCAUAGCUCAGUGGUAGUGUGCGUGCUUGGCCUGCACAAGGUCCUGGGUUCAAUCACCAGUACCUCCA
rnacentral:tRNA from 1 species